rnacentral:rRNA from 1 species
AGAGUUUGAUCAUGGCUCAGGAUGAACGCUAGCGGGAGGCUUAACACAUGCAAGUCGAGGGGCAGCACGAGGUAGCAAUACUUUGGUGGCGACCGGCGCACGGGUGAGUAACGCGUAUGCAACCUGCCCUGUACAGGGGGGAUAACCCGGAGAAAUUCGGACUAAUACCCCAUAAAGAUAUCUACAGGCAUCUGUAAAUAUUUAAAGUUUCGGCGGUACGGGAUGGGCAUGCGUAACAUUAGCUAGUUGGCAGGGUAACGGCCUACCAAGGCGACGAUGUUUAGGGGUCCUGAGAGGGUGAUCCCCCACACUGGUACUGAGACACGGACCAGACUCCUACGGGAGGCAGCAGUGAGGAAUAUUGGUCAAUGGGCGCAAGCCUGAACCAGCCAUCCCGCGUGAAGGAAGAAUGCGCUAUGCGUUGUAAACUUCUUUUCCAGGGGAAGAAAAUGCCUCACGUGUGGGGCACUGCCGGUACCCUGGGAAUAAGCAUCGGCUAACUCCGUGCCAGCAGCCGCGGUAAUACGGAGGAUGCGAGCGUUAUCCGGAUUUAUUGGGUUUAAAGGGUGCGUAGGCGGAUCAAUAAGUCAGUGGUGAAACCCUGCAGCUUAACUGUAGACUUGCCGUUGAUACUGGCGACCUUGAGUCCGGGAGAGGUGAGUGGAACUGCGAGUGUAGAGGUGAAAUUCGUAGAUAUUCGCAAGAACACCAGUGGCGAAGGCGGCUCACUGGCCCGGUACUGACGCUGAGGUGCGAAAGCGUGGGGAGCAAACAGGAUUAGAUACCCUAGUAGUCC